UACGUAGGGCGCAAGCGUUGUCCGGAAUUAUUGGGCGUAAAGAGCUCGUAGGCGGUCUGUUGCGUCUGCUGUGAAAACUCGGGGCUUAACCCCGAGCCUGCAGUGGAUACGGGCAGACUAGAGGUAGGUAGGGGAGAAUGAAUUCCCGGUGUAGCGGUGAAAUGCGCAGAUAUCGGGAGGAACACCGGUGGCGAAGGCGGUUCUCUGGGCCUUACCUGACGCUGAGGAGCGAAAGCGUGGGGAGCGAACAGG
rnacentral:rRNA from 1 species